UGACGCUGGUAGCCGUUGGAGGUGGUGGCUCCGGUGCCCCUGCGAGGUGGUAGUUGCGUCUUGCCCGCUCUGUGGCCCUGAGGGGACUCAGCCCCUCCGGGCGCAGUUUCACCUCGGGGCCAACUCGUUAUGCAGUAAUUGGCACGCGAGAGGUGCCCGAGUGCUUACUUGGUAGGGAGAAAGAGCCAGCUUCCCAGCCGCCCUGGGUCUGAAGGGAGGCGCGCUGAGGCACUGACUCGAUCUCGUAUUCUGAAUUCUUGCACCAUGGCUCUUGGUUGAAUGUAACGUCCAUCAGUUUGUAUUCCGUCUCUGGGCACGGGCAUCCUCGUGGCAGCAGCGAUGAGGGUGACGAGAAGACCGACUUCUCACUGAACGUGUCUGCACAGCCUGGUCAGGGAGAAAGCCAUGAAGGAUCUCCUCUCUCUUCGCUCUCCUCCUGGCUGCUGUGCUUGCCUGAAGUCAUUUUCUGCUCAUAUUCUGGAGGUGGCACAGAGACUUGUCCUGUGUUCUCGUCUUCCGAUGAAUCUGCACAUUUUGAAGAAGGCUAUGCUGCUCAAGUCUGUCAUCACUUGUUGACGUAACUUUUUAAUUAACAACUGACAAGAUGAAGAUAUCUGACUAUGCA
rnacentral:lncRNA from 1 species